UACAGGGGACGCAAGUUUUAUUCGGAAUCAUUGGGCGUAAAGCGUCUGCAGGUUGACAUAAAAGUCUUUUGUUAAAUAUCAGAGCUCAACUCGGAAUCUGCAAAAGAUACUAUAUGUCUUGAGUAUGGUAGAGGUAGGGGGAAUUUCCAGUGGAGCGGUGAAAUGCGUAGAUAUUGGAAAGAACACCAAUAGCGAAGGCACCCUACUGGGCCAUUACUGACACUCAGAGACGAAAGCUAGGGGAGCAAACGGGAUUAGAUACCCCGGUAGUCCUAGCCGUAAACGAUGGAUACUAGAUGUUGUAUGCUUAGUACAGUGUCGUAGCUAACGCGUUAAGUAUCCCGCCUGGGAAGUACGCUCGCAAGGGUG
rnacentral:rRNA from 1 species